GGGGCUUAGGCUGACUCCUGAGCCAUAUUGCAGAACACGUCUAGAGCAGAUCAACUCCUCUACAUCUGAGCCUGAUGCCAAGUAUAGUGAAAGGCACAGAGGCUCGGCCUUCUUCCCACUCUUUGUAUCCUAGAGCACACUCAGCACCUCAGGGGAGGCACACACAGCUUGAACUUUGGUAUCCCCAGUCCUGAUAUCUCUCCUACUUUAUCAAAAGAACCUCCUCCCACUCCUACAGUCAAGGAAAGCAAAGAGAAGAUCCAACAUCCCACUUCCCCAGCCAGCCUGGGACAGUUAACCUGGCCUACAACCAGCCAGCACUGGCUCCUAACCGUGGCCUCCACCGGAUCACAGCUUCCUCUGAGCUCUGGGUUCUUAAAGGGAAAAUAAAGCGCAGGAGCUAAACCGGGCGGUGGUAGCUCACACCUCUAAUUCCAGCACUCAGGUGGCAGAGGCAGGCGGAGCUCUGUGCGUUCGAGGCUAACCUGGUCCACUGACUGAGUUCAAGACAGCCAGGGCCACACAGAGAAACCCUUGUCUCAAGAAACAAAAAACAAGGGCUGGAGAGAUGGCUCAGCGGUUAAGAGCACCGACUGCUCUUCCUGAGGUCCUGAGUUCAAAUCCCAGCAACCACAUGGUGGUUCACAGCCAUCUGUAAUGAGAUCUGAUGCCCUCUCCUGGUGUCUGAAGACAGACAGUGUACCCAUAUACAAUAAAUAAAAUCUUUAAAAAAAAUUUUUUUUAAAAAGAAACAAAAAACAAGGGGUUGGGUAUUUAGCUCAGUGGUAGAGCGCUUGCCUAGCAAGCGCAAGGCCCUGGAUUCGGUCCCCAGCACC